UAAUAUUUAGUUUAUAAAAAAUAAAGGUUUGUGAUAUCUUAGAAAUAAUAUUAA
rnacentral:tRNA from 1 species